rnacentral:lncRNA from 1 species
UCAUAUGUAUGGGCAAGAUAGUUGCGAUCUAGCACUUAACAUAUGGCCUUUUUUCUUUUGACAAAAUAUCUAUAUAUAGCUGCCAUCAUUCAAAAGAACUAUGAACGCAAUAAUUAUUCCAAUUAUACAUCAAUGGAAGGAUGCCUCUACAUUAACACGUGUAACUACAAUUAAAAGAUCAGAAUUGUGGGAUUAAGAAAGAUAAUCUGAAUUUUUGAUGCCACAACACUGUGGGAACAAAUCUAACUUUAGACAGAUUUGUUUUACCAGGCUGGCAACGAAGGUGGCAUUUGCUAUCUUGAGCGAUCAGGGAAAAGGUGAGACCACAAGAAGGUAAGGUUGUGUUUUAUGAGCUUUUGCCAUCAGGUUAGCAAUGGUGGGAGCGCGAGAAAACCAACCAUGUGGGCUAGCAUGAAAUCAAGAUCAGCACGCGGCACACGUUAGAGCCCACCUUCAACAUCAUCUUCCUCCAAUAGUUACAAGCGCCCUAAUCCCCUAUGUUGACACUCCUCAAUUGUCAUCGGCUCUAUGAAGCGAUCACACCACCCCCAGUAAGUACCAUCUGCACAUAAUAAGAGGUGAAACUACCUCCAGUGUAUAACCUGCACAAAUUUACAUAAUUUGCAUGAUUCUUGUAUGUGGCAUUGAUGAAUUUGUCACAUAUCAUUGAACAAUGGAUCAACAGUACUUCGAUACACAAGGCAGUGCUCAUUUUAAGAGUUUUGACAUGCUAACUCACAUGGUGGAUCAAAUAUGAAACCCAAAAAGGUAAUUAUUAACUAACUGAUCUUGCAUCUUUCAUAUUAGUACAUACAAAAUCAGUAGAAUGACUACCCGCCCAUUAAUCGACAUACUCACAUACAUAGAAAAAAUCAUUCAAAUCCACCUACUACAGAUUAGAGGCAUUCAUGAUCUUGAAGAUUGUUACACAAGGUGAUCAACACUAUCCUCAAAACUAACUUGCAGGCAGUAUAUUAAGUUUUAUACCUCCAGGAACUGAAGCAAAAAUUAAAGAGCACUCCAUCUACAUAAUCAGGACCUUCAAAGUUAGGGAUUAUGGAAAAGCAUUAAAUUAUAGAACUGUGAUAUGUUGAUCUUAAAACAAAGGUUUUCCUAUAACCUUGCUCAUGAAAUAUACUUCUCUAAUUUGUUAUUUUAUCUAAUCGCAUAUGUUUUCUCUUGACUUCUAUUAGGAAUAUGUGUGCACAAGGAAAGCAAAAACUAAUGAGAUUAGAACAAACAAAGGUUGGUGGUACAUGGAAUGCAAACUUUCUUUUGUGCAACAAGAAAGGUAAAUCAUAAAUGUAUUUGCAAUUCAUGUCAUGAAGUAGUUGAAGACACAGUUCUACGGUGAGCAUGCUCUGCACUAUAUUGUCUUUGGUGCCAUUUUUAGUAGCAUUACCAGUAAGCAGUGAUGCUAUCACAUUAGGUACCUACUUAAACUCAAGGUAAGAGAUGAUACAACAACAACCGCUAUAAAAUUUGUGAUGUUUAAUGAGGCUAUGAAGAGACUUUUUGGCAACACUUGUGCAUACCAUACCAAAGCACGAUGGAUUCAAUUCAAAACCUUUAUGAUAAAAACACGCAUUCUCACUAAUGUUAAAUUCAAGGAAAUGCAAGUAUGCAUGGAAAAUUUCAAAGUGAGCUUCACUUUUGUACUUCACCAGAGGCUUGAGACAAAUAUUAAACAAAAUAUUUGAAGAGGUAUGUUUGUGCACAUUUCAGUAUGUUCAAAUGGUUUAUAAAAUUAUAAUGAGAGUAUCUUCUGUAAGACACAUGCUGGAAAGCCAAGUUAGAGAAGAUUCUUCAAAUUCUGUUAGGGAAAAGUGAGAUAUAGGCAUUGCAACUAAGUAACGGUUUUAUUAUCAUAAGUAUGGAAUAGUUUUUAAAAAUAUCAACAACAAGAUUUCCUUUUAACAAGGCAAGAGCCAAUCCAAGAAUGCAGCAGAAAGUGAGAAGAAGAAUACAUUUGGAAAGAAAGGAUCUGCAUUAUUUAACAAAAAACUUCUCAGUCAAGAAAAAUAUCUAAAAAAAUGUGAGAAACACUGAUCCAGAAAUAGCAAAGAAGCUAUUAAAGAAAUUGAACUUCAUGGUGAUGAGGUAAUACACCCAAACAUUAUCUCCCUGUAUAUGCAUUAAUUAUUUACAACCCAUCGUUAAAUGAUAUUGAAGAAACAUGUGCAUGUUUUUUUAAUAAUGCCAAAAUUAUUUCUUUUCUUAGGUCAAUCGUUCCUACAAGAUUGCAACUAGAGGUGAGAACAAAAAUGUGCUUGAAAAGAAAAACUCUACAUCAUCUAACAAAAAACUUCUGUCGAGGAUAAAAAAGGAGAAGUAAAUAUGUAGGUGGAGUCAAAUAUUAUUUUAGAGAACACACAAAGAGAGAAAAAAGAUGCAAACAGGAUUUGAAAGGAAAAGCUUUGUGAAAUAACAAAAUAAGUUGGUGCAAAAAACAAACUACACAGUGAGGAGGUAUUCCGUUGAAAUCAAUAUGAAAAGGAAGUACCCAACAUUCAGUAUAGAUAUUUAGCUGUAGUCACAGUACAAGAUGAUUUAGAUAAAGACUGAAGAAAACUGUACACAAGUCAAAAGUCCUAGCAACAAGAAAUUCAAAAGAGUUAUCAAAUAAAAGAAAUUCAACAGUGAGGUGAAAAGUUUAUACUUUCAACAUAAUAUAUUGUUUUUUCAAGAUAGGCCCAAGUGUUCUAUGUGAUGUUCUAAAUUAUUGUAUUGUAUCUCACAGUUUGAAGAGGAAGAAAAUGAUGUAUCACUGAUUCAAAUGAUGACUCAAGAGUCAACCAUCGAAGAUACUAAUGGUGAGGUAUUAUCAUUUAAGAACCGACUUUGUAUUCUUUAUCGAUUGGGGAUGCACUGGCAGUCUACUAAUACUAUGUCUCAGAUGCACUUGUCAAACCAAUUAAUUUACUAGAAAAUGUAGCAUACGUGUGCAUGUAUGUUCUUUGCUUGCAAGUUUUUGCGCCCCUCUUAAGCCGAUUAAUUUACUAGCAAAGCUAGCAUACUUGUGCAAGUAUGUUAUGUGCUUGCAAAUUUUAGUGAACAUUAAAAUACUGUAAUCUACAUUAUUCAAUGAUUUUCAAUAUUAUGGAUCACUGUUACAUUUGAAGAUACAAAAUUCAUAAAUAAUAGUUUAAUUUAUGAUAUUGAGUAGGAAGGGGAGAGACACAAGACAAGUAAAAAGACCCAAGUGAAGAUUUGGGAGGACUGACACAAUCAGAGAUGUAAACAUGAUAUGGCAGGACGGAUAUGUCCUACUACUCCGCAGAAGUACUCGAAAUGUGCAUCAAGUUCCAUAUGAUGAAAAUAGUUAAUAAAUACCAAGCAUCGACAUUCUAUAUUCUGAUAUUUUUGGCUUAAUAUAGUACAUCCCAAUAGUCAGGGCAUUCAUCUAUCAUUAUAUUUUGUAUAUGUACAAUAUGAUUUGACUACUCAAACCUAUUCAACUGUCAUAGUGUCAAAAAACGUUUUACAUUAAGUCACAGAGGGAGUACUAAACUAUACCAACUCACAAAUACAUUGAUUACUACUUAACUUUGUUGAAUAUGAAUGGGCGUAGGGCAGCCUAAGACUACCUAUGCCAGUCGCAAAGUCCAGGAAAAUGUGGAGGGGACAUCAGAAAAUAAAUAAGUAUUAUUCACUAAUAGACUGUACCUAAAUUACGUUAUAUUGGUAUACAAUCAUACACACUGAGGAAAGAUUAAGCGGAAAAAUAUGAUAAGAGGCAGGAAAAAAAAGAGAGACCUGUAGGUCGAACAAUACUGCCGAUGUGGAGGAUGGUGAUGAUCUGUUGGGCUUCCUCGAGUGGGAACAAUGAUGAUGCGGCUGCCUCGCGCGCUUGGGGAAGAAGACAACAUCGCGAGCAUCCUCCAUACUCAAGCUGGAUAUGCAUGCUGACUGCAGGAGGCGAGAUCCACACCCACAUCACCUGCAUAGACGCCGAGGACAACAACAUGAUGCAGAUCGACGAUCUCACCUCCUCCCUUGCGUAAUGCUCCUCUGACCCUGCUACACAUCCGUCGCUAUUUACCGGCCCAGGAGACAAGCCAUCGUAGACAGUCACCCUGUAGCCGCAACAACGAGUUGAGCUGCGGAGAUGCCUACAGCUGAGGAGGAGUAGCCUCAAGGCAACAAAUCAAGAGGGCAAACUAUUGGGACGGCUAAUCCGGUGGCAGCAAUUUUGGAGUGAGCAGAUGGAAGAAUGAAAGAAAAAAGGGAAUCGGGGCAUCGGCCAAGAGAAACAUGUGAGUGAG